UAAAGCGCGCGCAGGCGGUUUCUUAAGUCUGAUGUGAAAGCCCACGGCUCAACCGUGGAGGGUCAUUGGAAACUGGGGAACUUGAGUGCAGAAGAGAAAAGCGGAAUUCCACGUGUAGCGGUGAAAUGCGUAGAGAUGUGGAGGAACACCAGUGGCGAAGGCGGCUUUUUGGUCUGUAACUGACGCUGAGGCGCGAAAGCGUGGGGAGCAAACAGGAUUAGAUACCCUGGUAGUCCACGCCGUGAACGAUGAGUGCUAAGUGUUAGAGGGUUUCCGCCCUUUA
rnacentral:rRNA from 1 species